rnacentral:rRNA from 1 species
UACGAAGGGGCUAGCGUUGUUCGGAAUUACUGGGCGUAAAGCGCGCGCAGGCGGCUAUCCAAGUCAGUGGUGAAAGCCCGGAGCUCAACUCCGGAACUGCCAUUGAAACUGUUUAGCUUGAGGACGAGAGAGGUGAGUGGAAUUCCCAGUGUAGAGUUGAAAUUCGUAGAUAUUGGGAAGAACACCGGUGGCGAAGGCGGCUCACUGGCUCGUAUCUGACGCUCAGGCGCGAUAGCGUGGGGAUCAAACAGG